CCAGUCAGCGGAUCGGUCAGGGAGUUCUUCCGGUGCAUAUCAGCCGUGUGUUUAAUCGCCAGGUAGGAUUGCACAUGGGUCCAU
rnacentral:tRNA from 1 species